ensembl:lncRNA novel transcript, antisense to SIX5
UGGUGGUGUAAUCCGAUAACUUUAUUUUAAUUGAAAAUGGAGGCAUAACAUGUCCUAGAAAAAUAAAGAUUUAGGAUACAAAGGAGACACAGCGGCAGGGCUGCCCCCAGGGAUGAGGGAAUCUUUGGUCUGGGCCGGAUAAUGAGGACAAGGGCUUGAGUCGAGGGGAGCUGGUGAAGGAAGACCCCCGUCUCCCCACAGCUGCCCCACCCCCCGCCCCUGGCAGGAAAUGCCACACUGGGGAGGGUCUCCAGUCUCAGGGGCGCGGGGCUGCCUGUCCUCCACCUUCGGAUUCCAGGCAGUUGUGACAACACCAGCUAUCGGCAGAGCUAUUAAUAGUGUUUCAGGGAGUGACAGGGAGAGGGCUCUGGGGGCUGGAAGUCCGGCCCUGGGGCAGGGUGUUCCGCUUACAGCUAGUACCAAGUGGAGGGGGCAGGGCCCCUGAGUCAGGACCCUGAGUCCCCCACGUAUAUGGCAGGGCACAGCAUGGGGAGGGCUGUAACAGAGAGGCCUCCCAUCCAAAGGGGGAUGGAGACCUGGACAGGAGGUGGCCGGGGAUACAACCCCCAGCACCACCAGGGCUUGGAGAGGCCACCCAGGCAGAAGGAUGUGGUGACUGGGGUCUUCAGCAACCGCAUUUCUGGGGCUCCCCCCUCCCAUUCCUGUCCCUGCGUCUUCAGCACCAAUGUCGGGAGAGGCCACGGGGCCACACUGGGUCACAGUUCCAAGGGCUCCUCCACAGGCACCGACUGGAGCUGGGUCAGAACCUUGGCCUCAGCUUCCAACCCCUCGUCAACCUCACCCCCUGCGGUGGCCCCCAGGAGCAGCCCCUCAGGGUCGGGGUCUGGCAGCCUCAGCACGGUGUGGGGGGCCUGUGUCCCCAGCCCCUUUUCCGCUUCCAGCAGCCCCUCUGUUCCUGCGCUUAGUUCCAGCCCUGCUGACCAGACAGGCACGGCCGCGGGUGACAACAUCAGCCCCUCUGGUGGGGGCGCCGGGAAGUUGGGCAGGAGGCCAGGGGAGUCAGGGGAGAAGGGCAGGCUGGUGCUGGAGGUGGUGGCAGCGGCGGGGGGUGGCUGCUGUGCAGAAAGGGUGCCUAGGGCGUGAGCCUCUGGGAGAGCAGGGCUGGGGGCCACCGGGAGGCCUCCCUCAGGCACGGAGAUGGCCGUCUCUGGCUUCAGUGGCAAGGUAGCCAUGUUUUGCAACUUUGGGAAGUUCCUCCCUCCCUCUCUUCCUCCCUCGGGCUUUCCCCAGCCUCCUCCCCCACCUGUCCCCCCUUUUCGCCCCCACUCCCCGCUCUUCUCGAUCUUCUUUCUGGCCGACCCUGCGCCCCACGCCGGGAAGGCGAGAUCCAGCUCUCCACUCGGGUCUCUGUCCCCUUGUGUGUGUCCGUCCCCCUCCCGUC